AUUGAACGCUGGCGGCAUGCCUUACACAUGCAAGUCGAACGGCAGCACGGACUUCGGUCUGGUGGCGAGUGGCGAACGGGUGAGUAAUGUAUCGGAACGUACCUUUCAGUGGGGGGAUAACGUAGCGAAAGUUACGCUAAUACCGCAUAUUCUGUGAGCAGGAAAGCAGGGGAUCGCAAGACCUUGCGCUGAUUGAGCGGCCGAUAUCAGAUUAGCUAGUUGGUGAGGUAAAGGCUCACCAAGGCGACGAUCUGUAGCGGGUCUGAGAGGAUGAUCCGCCACACUGGAACUGAGACACGGUCCAGACUCCUACGGGAGGCAGCAGUGGGGAAUUUUGGACAAUGGGGGCAACCCUGAUCCAGCCAUGCCGCGUGAGUGAAGAAGGCCUCGG
rnacentral:rRNA from 1 species